rnacentral:tRNA from 1 species
CGCAGGAUAGAGUAGUUGGCAGCUCGUCGGGCUCAUAACCCGGAGGUCGUAGGUUCAAAUCCUACUCCUGCUA